UAUACGGAAAAGAUGCUGGCGCCAUUUUCUGUUAUCGGUUUUUACGCGUGUGUAUUGCUGGUGUGCGGAUCGAGUUCUUACCACGUAGUUGCCUAGCGUAUUUAACAUAUUUGUGCUUCUUUUAAGUUUUUGAUUAGAAAAAAUAGAAUAUGGGACGUAAAAAGAAGAAGCAGUCGAGACCAUGGUGUUGGUAUUGCAAUAGAGAAUUUGAAGAUGAAAAAAUUCUUAUUCAACAUCAAAAGGCAAAACAUUUCAAGUGCCACAUUUGUCAUAAGAAAUUAUAUACGGGACCAGGACUUAGUAUACAUUGUAUGCAGGUACACAAAGAAGCAAUAGAUAAAGUACCUAACUCUUUGCCAAAUCGUAGCAACAUUGAAAUAGAAAUAUAUGGAAUGGAAGGAAUCCCACCAAAUGAUGCUAAAGAGCAUGAAAGACAACGAAAUGGUGGUAGACCUGGUUCACCUAGUUCUGGAGAAGAUGAACCUGUACAAAAGAAGGCAAAGCCUGAAGGUUUAUUAGGUUCAGCACCAGGAGCUAUGCCUACGGGUUCUAGUAUUAUGUCUGGGGUAAUGCAAGGAAUGACAACACAUCCUGGUAUGCCACCGAUGGGUCAAUUCCCACCACCCAUGCAUCAUAUGAUGGGACCUAUGGGCCCAGUAGGUCCACCAUUCAUGGGACCUGGUAUGAUGCCUGGAAUGCCAGGUAUGCCGCCAGGCAUACAACCACCGGUAUCUGGUACAUCCAUGCCGCCAACAAGGCCAUUAUUCCCAAGUGCUGCAGCUGUUUCCACUGCUGCAUCUACGGCUGUGACAUCUACCCCGUUGGGUACAGAUUUUAAACCAAUUACAUCAGUGGCUGGUGGGUCUAUAGGACCAGUCAAGCCAACAUUCCCUGCUUAUAGUGGUACUGAAAGUAGUACCACGACUAAUAGUAACCUUGGUAAUGAACAAAAAGUUAAUCUUAUUGCAACAACAGGGGCUGCUAGUAAAAUUAUUCAUCCCCCUGAAGAUCUCAGUUUAGAGGAAAUUAGAGCAAGAUUACCGAAAUAUCAACGGCGGCAAACAGAGGAAUCUCGAUCGGCACAGGCUGAUGCCACUCAACAGGCUGCAGCAUUACAGCAACAACAGCAGCAACAGCAACAGCAACAACAACAACAACAACAGCAGCAGCAACAGCAGCAAGCAGCUGCUAAUGUAGCUGCUGCAUUUCAAGAUCAGCAGCAAAGACAACAAGCUGCAUUAAAUGCUCUUCAACAGCAACAGCAACAAAGGUUUCAAAGGCCUCCACAAGCAGUAAUGGUACCAGCAUCGGCAGCAAUGCCUGUGAGCUCUGUUGCUCUUAUGGCACCAUUAAUGCGACCCACAAUGACCUUAGCUGCACCUGCUCUUAUUCAUGGAGGUAACAUGAUGCGACCGCCCCCCAUGGGCCUACCACCAGGUGGGUCGAGCGGCCAACGAAAUUACAUCUGUUCCAAUUCCUUCCACGUCGGGCAGCCACUUUGAUUUUGGACACAUCAUGAGUCUUUGGAUGUGAUAUACCUCCUCCCGAAACUAGAGUCAUUGGGAUGAUAGGAGCCUUACCACCGGGUGCUAUGCAUCCGGCGUUUGCAGCUCCAAUGGGAUUUCCUGGUGCACCGAUGUUGGCUCCAAUGAUGCAUCCACGCUUUAGAUGAUCGCCUCCCGUGGACGGGCCCACUCCACCAUUGCACUUUGUGCUAUGGGCUCGCCCCUAAAAUCACAUUAGGGUUCGGACCUUUUGACCGAAAGAAGAGAAGAAGAGAAAACGAGAAGCACACACGCAAAAUACGUUAUCUCUCGCGUGGAUACAGUUCAUCGAGAACGGCCGCGCCUGCACUUGAUGCAUCCUCUCCCACGAAGUUUACACGAAGUUAGCAAAAUCUUUGUUUUUUAUUAUAUCGUUGACGAAAAAGACCACACAUCUAUACGUUAGUGCCUGAGGGAGGAAUAUCUCGGCCGAGAUGUGGAAACGGUUGGAACCAUUUUCCGUCUUUGCAGUUUUACUUCUUCCGUCUCGUCAAAUGAAACUAAACAAAACCAUUACGUUUUUUUUUCUUUUUUUUUUCUUUUUUUUUUUUUUUUUUAAUUUCUUCUUCUUUUCCCCCGUCUUCUUUUAAUCGUGUGAACUUUGCUUCUCAAGAUUCUAUUAUUAUUAUUAUUAAUAUUAAUAUUAUUAUUAUUAUUAUUAUUAUUAUUAUUAAUAUUAUUAUUAUUACUGCUACUACUGCUAUUAUUGUUUUGUUAUUCUUUUUCUCCUAAAUUAUGUAUAUUUUAUAUCUAUUGUUUCUAUCAUUUAUUUUAAAGAUAUUUCUAUCGUCGUCUUAUAUCUGUCGUUAUCUAUGUGAUAGAUGAACGCGUAAAAAAGAAAGAAAGAAAAAAGACAAAAGAAAAAAAAAAAAGAAAAUAAGAAAAAAAGAAA